CCCUUAGAUGUUCUGGGCUGCACGCGUGCUACACUGAUAUUGCCAAUAUGUCAUUCUUAUCCGAAAUGGAUUGGGUAAUCAAGUAAUGAAAUUUCAUGCUUGGAAUCGGUAAUUGCAAUUUUAUCGUGAACGAGGAAUUCCUAGUAAGCACUAGUCAUCAGCUAAUGUUGAUUAUAUCCCUGCCCUUUGUACACACCGCCCGUCGCUACUACUGAUUGGGUGUUCAAGUGAGAUGCUUAGACCCUUGUUGCAUGGUUCAUUAUUGUGCUCCGAAAGGAAAAAGUUUCAAGCUUGAGUGUCUAGAGGAAGUAAAAGUCGUAACA
rnacentral:rRNA from 1 species